rnacentral:rRNA from 1 species
GUCGAACGGUAACAGGUCUUCGGACGCUGACGAGUGGCGAACGGGUGAGUAAUACAUCGGAACGUGCCCAGUCGUGGGGGAUAACUACUCGAAAGAGUAGCUAAUACCGCAUACGAUCUGAGGAUGAAAGCGGGGGACCUUCGGGCCUCGCGCGAUUGGAGCGGCCGAUGGCAGAUUAGGUAGUUGGUGGGAUAAAAGCUUACCAAGCCGACGAUCUGUAGCUGGUCUGAGAGGACGACCAGCCACACUGGGACUGAGACACGGCCCAGACUCCUACGGGAGGCAGCAGUGGGGAAUUUUGGACAAUGGGCGAAAGCCUGAUCCAGCAAUGCCGCGUGCAGGAUGAAGGCCUUCGGGUUGUAAACUGCUUUUGUACGGAACGAAAAAGCUCCUUCUAAUACAGGGGGCCCAUGACGGUACCGUAAGAAUAAGCACCGGCUAACUACGUGCCAGCAGCCGCGGUAAUACGUAGGGUGCGAGCGUUAAUCGGAAUUACUGGGCGUAAAGCGUGCGCAGGCGGUUAUGUAAGACAGAUGUGAAAUCCCCGGGCUCAACCUGGGAACUGCAUUUGUGACUGCAUGGCUAGAGUACGGUAGAGGGGGAUGGAAUUCCGCGUGUAGCAGUGAAAUGCGUAGAUAUGCGGAGGAACACCGAUGGCGAAGGCAAUCCCCUGGACCUGUACUGACGCUCAUGCACGAAAGCGUGGGGAGCAAACAGGAUUAGAUACCCUG